GCCAUGGGGGCGUCUACCAUGCAGUCGAGCGGUAAGGCCCUUCGGGGUACACGAGCGGCGAACGGGUGAGUAACACGUGAGCAACCUGCCCCUGACUCUGGGAUAAGCGGUGGAAACGCCGUCUAAUACCGGAUACGACCCGCCACCUCAUGGUGGAGGGUGGAAAGUUUUUCGGUCAGGGAUGGGCUCGCGGCCUAUCAGCUUGUUGGUGGGGUAACGGCCUACCAAGGCGAUUACGGGUAGCCGGCCUGAGAGGGCGACCGGCCACACUGGGACUGAGACACGGCCCAGACUCCUGCGGGAGGCAGCAGUGGGGAAUAUUGCGCAAUGGGCGAAAGCCUGACGCAGCGACGCCGCGUGGGGGAUGACGGCCUUCGGGUUGUAAACCUCUUUUACCACCAACGCAGGCUUCCAGUUCUCUGGAGGUUGACGGUAGGUGGGGAAUAAGGACCGGCUAACUACGUGCCAGCAGCCGCGGUAAUACGUAGGGUCCGAGCGUUGUCCGGAAUUAUUGGGCGUAAAGAGCUCGUAGGCGGCGUGUCGCGUCUGCUGUGAAAGACCGGGGCUUAACUCCGGUUCUGCAGUGGAUACGGGCAUGCUAGAGGUAGGUAGGGGAGACUGGAAUUCCUGGUGUAGCGGUGAAAUGCGCAGAUAUCAGGAGGAACACCGGUGGCGAAGGCGGGUCUCUGGGCCUUACCUGACGCUGAGGAGCGAAAGCAUGGGGAGCGAACAGGAUUAGAUACCCUGGUAGUCCAUGCCGUAAACGUUGGGCGCUAGGUGUGGGGACUUUCCACGGUUUCCGCGCCGUAGCUAACGCAUUAAGCGCCCCGCCUGGGGAGUACGGCCGCAAGGCUAAAACUCAAAGGAAUUGACGGGGGCCCGCACAAGCGGCGGAGCAUGUUGCUUAAUUCGACGCAACGCGAAGAACCUUACCAAGGUUUGACAUCACCCGUGGACUCGCAGAGAUGUGAGGUCAUUUAGUUGGCGGGUGA
rnacentral:rRNA from 1 species